rnacentral:rRNA from 1 species
GACGAACGCUGGCGGCGUGCUUAACACAUGCAAGUCGAACGGAAAGGCCCUGCUUUUGUGGGGUGCUCGAGUGGCGAACGGGUGAGUAACACGUGAGUAACCUGCCCUUGACUUUGGGAUAACUUCAGGAAACUGGGGCUAAUACCGGAUAGGAGCUCCUGCUGCAUGGUGGGGGUUGGAAAGUUUCGGCGGUUGGGGAUGGACUCGCGGCUUAUCAGUUUGUUGGUGGGGUAGUGGCUUACCAAGGCUUUGACGGGUAGCCGGCCUGAAAGGGUGACCGGCCACAUUGGGACUGAGAUACGGCCCAGACUCCUACGGGAGUCAGCAGUGGGGAAUAGUGCACAAUGGGCGGAAGCCUGAUGCAGCAACGCCGCGUGCGGGAUGACGGCCUUCGGGUUGUAAACCGCUUUCGCCUGUGACGAAGCGUGAGUGACGGUAAUGGGUAAAGAAGCACCGGCUAACUACGUG